CUGAAUCCUUUCCGAACUCAGAAGUGAAACACACCAGCGCCGAUGGUAGUGUGGGGUCUCCCCAUGCGAGAGUAGGUCACCGCCAGAC
rnacentral:rRNA from 1 species